rnacentral:rRNA from 1 species
UGUGAGCUCGAUGAGUAGGGCGGGACACGUGGUAUCCUGUCUGAAUAUGGGGGGACCAUCCUCCAAGGCUAAAUACUCCUGACUGACCGAUAGUGAACCAGUACCGUGAGGGAAAGGCGAAAAGAACCCCGGCGAGGGGAGUGAAAAAGAACCUGAAACCGUGUACGUACAAGCAGUGGGAGCACGCUUAGGCGUGUGACUGCGUACCUUUUGUAUAAUGGGUCAGCGACUUAUAUUCUGUAGCAAGGUUAACCGAAUAGGGGAGCCGAAGGGAAACCGAGUCUUAACUGGGCGUUAAGUUGCAGGGUAUAGACCCGAAACCCGGUGAUCUAGCCAUGGGCAGGUUGAAGGUUGGGUAACACUAACUGGAGGACCGAACCGACUAAUGUUGAAAAAUUAGCGGAUGACUUGUGGCUGGGGGUGAAAGGCCAAUCAAACCGGGAGAUAGCUGGUUCUCCCCGAAAGCUAUUUAGGUAGCGCCUCGUGAAUUCAUCUCCGGGGGUAGAGCACUGUUUCGGCAAGGGGGUCAUCCCGACUUACCAACCCGAUGCAAACUGCGAAUACCGGAGAAUGUUAUCACGGGAGACACACGGCGGGUGCUAACGUCCGUCGUGAAGAGGGAAACAACCCAGACCGCCAGCUAAGGUCCCAAAGUCAUGGUUAAGUGGGAAACGAUGUGGGAAGGCCCAGACAGCCAGGAUGUUGGCUUAGAAGCAGCCAUCAUUUAAAGAAAGCGUAAUAGCUCACUGGUCGAGUCGGCCUGCGCGGAAGAUGUAACGGGGCUAAACCAUGCACCGAAGCUGCGGCAGCGACGCUUAUGCGUUGUUGGGUAGGGGAGCGUUCUGUAAGCCUGUGAAGGUGUGCUGUGAGGCAUGCUGGAGGUAUCAGAAGUGCGAAUGCUGACAUAAGUAACGAUAAAGCGGGUGAAAAGCCCGCUCGCCGGAAGACCAAGGGUUCCUGUCCAACGUUAAUCGGGGCAGGGUGAGUCGACCCCUAAGGCGAGGCCGAAAGGCGUAGUCGAUGGGAAACAGGUUAAUAUUCCUGUACUUGGUGUUACUGCGAAGGGGGGACGGAGAAGGCUAUGUUGGCCGGGCGACGGUUGUCCCGGUUUAAGCGUGUAGGCUGGUUUUCCAGGCAAAUCCGGAAAAUCAAGGCUGAGGCGUGAUGACGAGGCACUACGGUGCUGAAGCAACAAAUGCCCUGCUUCCAGGAAAAGCCUCUAAGCAUCAGGUAACAUCAAAUCGUACCCCAAACCGACACAGGUGGUCAGGUAGAGAAUACCAAGGCGCUUGAGAGAACUCGGGUGAAGGAACUAGGCAAAAUGGUGCCGUAACUUCGGGAGAAGGCACGCUGAUAUGUAGGUGAAGUCCCUUGCGGAUGGAGCUGAAAUCAGUCGAAGAUACCAGCUGGCUGCAACUGUUUAUUAAAAACACAGCACUGUGCAAACACGAAAGUGGACGUAUACGGUGUGACGCCUGCCCGGUGCCGGAAGGUUAAUUGAUGGGGUUAGCGCAAGCGAAGCUCUUGAUCGAAGCCCCGGUAAACGGCGGCCGUAACUAUAACGGUCCUAAGGUAGCGAAAUUCCUUGUCGGGUAAGUUCCGACCUGCACGAAUGGCGUAAUGAUGGCCAGGCUGUCUCCACCCGAGACUCAGUGAAAUUGAACUCGCUGUGAAGAUGCAGUGUACCCGCGGCAAGACGGAAAGACCCCGUGAACCUUUACUAUAGCUUGACACUGAACAUUGAGCCUUGAUGUGUAGGAUAGGUGGGAGGCUUGGAAGUGUGGACGCCAGUCUGCAUGGAGCCGACCUUGAAAUACCACCCUUUAAUGUUUGAUGUUCUAACGUUGACCCGUAAUCCGGGUUGCGGACAGUGUCUGGUGGGUAGUUUGACUGGGGCGGUCUCCUCCUAAAGAGUAACGGAGGAGCACGAAGGUUGGCUAAUCCUGGUCGGACAUCAGGAGGUUAGUGCAAUGGCAUAAGCCAGCUUGACUGCGAGCGUGACGGCGCGAGCAGGUGCGAAAGCAGGUCAUAGUGAUCCGGUGGUUCUGAAUGGAAGGGCCAUCGCUCAACGGAUAAAAGGUACUCCGGGGAUAACAGGCUGAUACCGCCCAAGAGUUCAUAUCGACGGCGGUGUUUGGCACCUCGAUGUCGGCUCAUCACAUCCUGGGGCUGAAGUAGGUCCCAAGGGUAUGGCUGUUCGCCAUUUAAAGUGGUACGCGAGCUGGGUUUAGAACGUCGUGAGACAGUUCGGUCCCUAUCUGCCGUGGGCGCUGGAGAACUGAGGGGGGCUGCUCCUAGUACGAGAGGACCGGAGUGGACGCAUCACUGGUGUUCGGGUUGUCAUGCCAAUGGCACUGCCCGGUAGCUAAAUGCGGAAGAGAUAAGUGCUGAAAGCAUCUAAGCACGAAACUUGCCCCGAGAUGAGUUCUCCCUGAC